UUAUUGAACAGCAGGUUGGUUUGGGGAUUUUCCCCCUCCUUUCUUCUAAUUUUUUUUUUUUUUUUUUUUGCUUUCCCCCCUCCUGCUUGUCCUUUCAGCUGCUUACAAUCUUUCUGGGACAAAUUUAGGCCUGGGCCGUGUCCCACUUGUGUCUGGAAAGUCUGAGCAGCCUUGGCUCCGCUGCCAGGAGCGAGGAGAAAGGGCACACAGCCCAUGGCAGCUUCAAACUUAAAAUGAAAGGAGCCAAAUGCCAAAGAAAACUCCAGAUCUCACUGAGCUUUGGAAUUGAAGGGUGUAACAUCAAAAUCACCAGGAGACCUCAAUGUGCUUGUGCUGCAUUAAAUGCUCAGCAUUUCCUCAGCACACCCCCUGGUUAUGGGCUUCAAUACAGGAAGGGAUGGAGCAUGGCUGCAGUUUGGAAAGCAGAGAUGCCUUUUCUCUGCUUUUUUUGGGACUGUACUCACCUUUUUUAGCUGACUGAGUCAGUGCUCUGGGGUGCUGGGGCAUUUUCUGCCAGGGAAGCAUCACCUCCACACCCACUGCCUCUGCCUUAUCAAUCUUGCAUGUCCUGAAAGCUCUGCUUGGUGACUGACAGCUGUCAGACAGGGCUGGAAAAUGACAGUGGGCUCUUUAAUUUACUGUCAUCGGCUCAAAAUGAAAAAAAAGAGAAAAAAAUAUUUAAAGUGAGGGAAAAAAAUCUGAGUUUCUGCCCUCAAGUUUUUGGCUAUGUUGACCCUGAUCACUGCUCAGGGCUGUUUCACUUGACCUCACUUGCUGCCAGCUCAAGGCUGAGCAGCUCCAUCCCUGUGGGGCUGGAGAACAUGAACAAAAGCAGAGCCACCUCACCCCUUUGUCACAGACACAUUUUAUGAAAAAUCCUUUCCUUAGGAUUUUUCCUCCUGAGAAGCUGAGAAGCCUCAGGAACAAGAUGUAAACAAUGGUUAUCUGCUGCUGUGGAAUGCAACAGGUGCAUCUGUGAUUGGACCAUGUUGGUUGUUUUUAAUUAAUGGCCAAUCACAGUCAGCUGGCUCAGACUGUCUGAGACAGAAGCUUUUGUAAUAAUUCCUUCCUAUUCUAUUCUUAGCUAGCCUUCUGAUGAAAUCUUCUUCUAUUCUUUUAGUAUAGUUUUAAUAUAAUAUAUAUCAUAAAAUAAUAAAUCAAGCCUUGUGGAACA
rnacentral:lncRNA from 1 species